GUUCCUCAACACGGCCCAGCUGGGGGAAAAUAGGGCCCUUUCUUCCGACUGAAACUAACCGGGAGCCCCAGGCCCCGGGUCUAGAAGACUAGGCGACCCGCCGGGAUGCCCCUGCCCACCCCAGAAAACCUCCUGCUUCCUGAGGACCCAAGGACGAUGCCGCGCUCACCACGGGCUUUUAUUGGUUUCUGAAGUCCCUGGAGAUCUCCUUCAGUGCCAGCUCCAACUUGCAGCAUCCAGGACCAGCCCUGGCCACCUCCCCACACUUUCCUGCUAUCUUCUCUGCACCCCACUGAAACCCCAGAACACAAAUACAGUUACAGCAGAGGGGAAACAGCGUAUCCAAAAGAAACUCAUUCUGAAGACUUCAAAGAGUGUCCUUAAGGAUUUUUCAGUGAAAAGAUAUCAUAUCAACAAAGUCCUGAGCAAAACAGAAAAAACAAAAACAAAACAAAUAACCCAACCAUGUCUGUUCAGACAUUAGAGUAAGUCUAACUUGAAAGUGAGAUGCCUGAAGCAUGUACUCGCUCUAGUUCAACACGAUGCUCAAACAGUAUGAACCUUGGUAGUGAAGGGCACAACGGGAGGAAUGUCAGUCUCAAUCACAAAUCCUUGUGAUCAUGGGGGACUGAUCUGGCAGGUAUAAGACAGGUGGGGAGCCCACACUGCUUGAAGGACUGCGGAAAUGCGCAUCAAAGGAGCUCGGUGUAAUCCCAACUUCACCUUUCAAAAAAUCAUCUUCUUCAUCUUCCACCACCUCCUGCACAAAGAACAGAGAUUAUCCACAAGAUCACACAUGGCAGUUUGAAAUGCUUUCAAGAAUCCCUUUCCUCAGGAACGUGCUACUUCUGGAAAGACAAAGGUGAAGAAAAAGAAUCUUAAUUUCGAGAGCUUCCCAAUGCACACUUCUUUAUUACGAACCAUCCGCAUGACUGCUCAUCACAUGCUCUGCCUCAGCUCCAUGGCCACGCACUGGAGGACAUGCUGCAGACCUGCAUCUUCACCACCUGUUCAUGAAAACCUACAAAAUUAAUGUUAACUUCUGGGAACAUUUCAACAGUUUCAAGAAAAACAAAAACCUCCUGGUGUCAAUCUGGGUUCCUACUGAGGGAGAGACCUGCAAGCCCUCGUGUGCCACGACCCUCAGCAGCCUUGAACAGGCUUCUCCACACUGGGCCUGGAAAACAUGCAAGGAGACCACGAGACCCUAUCAACGGCCAGAAGGGCCUCUCACCACAAAGAAACCCCAAAUCCCGAUCCUGGUAAAGGCACAUACACACUGCACUUAAAUUCACCAUCGAAAGGUCGACUGUCUAAGUGUACCUACCUCUUCAGUACACAAGGAUCGAAGGGGAAGAAAGUGUCAAGUGGGUUCGUGCAGGUUUGCACUGAGUCCCCCCCAGCAGUGUUUCUGAUAACUGGCAGCAUCUGGCGGUUGUUCCUCUCAAUGAGGGUGUAGCAGAAGACAAGCUGGUAUUUGCUGUGGAAUAAAACCAACACAGACAGAGGCAUUAAUGUGCUGGAAUUACUCUGCAUGGACACGCCUGUUCGUGUGUGACAACUACCCCGACUAUAUAGAUCUUAUUGAACAUAACAACUACAAGAAAAAAAAUAACAUAAAGUAGAAAGUAAUGCUUUUAGGGUACAGUCCUCUGGGCCUACUAUUUACAAGUUAGCUAAGGAGAAAGAAAAUGUGCUAUCACUUUAUAGAAUAUGAGAGUGGGCUUAGAUUACUAAUUAGGCACAACUCACUAAAAAUUAAUGCAUUCACGGUAAUUCUUGUAGUUUACAGAAUUAUGUAGCUGUCUUUACUUAUUUUUUACUGUUUGUAAGAAUUAGUGGGUUGGUGAAAAAGGGAUUCAGGAUUCACUGAGAGGGGAUAUGGGUUGUUGGUGGAGACACUUGGCUGUUGAAGAAAUUAAGGAGGGUACUAAGGGAGAGCCAUGGGGUUUACUGAAUCACGACCUCAGAAAAUGGUAAAGAAAAGAAAAGGCAUAGUGAGUGAAAACAGUUAAAUGGACAGAAAAACUUGUGAUAAAAACCAAUAGGACCAGGACUUCCCUGGUGGCGCAGUGGUUAAGAAUCCACCUACCAAUGCAGGGGACAUGGGUUCGAGCCCUGGUCCGGGAAGAUCCCACAUGCCACGGAGCAAUUAAGCCCGUGCGCCACAACUACUGAGCCUGCGCUCUAGAGCCUGCGAGCCACAAGUACUGAAGCCCGUGCGCCACAACUACUGAGCCUGCGCUCUAGAGCCUGCGAGCCACAAGUACUGAAGCCCGCACGCCUAGAGCCCAUGCUCCGCAACAGGAGAAGCCACCCCAAUGACAAGCCCUCCCACUGCAACAAAGAGUAGCCCUUGCUCGCCGCAACUACAGAAAGCCCGUGCGCAGCAACGAAGACCCAAUGCAGCCAAAAAUUAAUUAAUUAAUUAAUUAAAAAAAAACAAAGCCCAACAGGACCAUUAUGUUGUCAAUCUCCCUGGUGGUUAUGACUUAGGAACUUCAAAAAUCAUUCACUGGGCCACUUCUUUGAGAGGAGGAUUUAGCUCACCUUUGCCAACUCUCCCCCUCCCACCCUCCCUCCCACGGUACUCUUUCAGGUAUCUGUUCUCAGGCUCUCAGGUCACUACUGCUAUUUUAAGCACCAUGUGUUCAUUUCUGUUCCAUUAGCCAAGGAUCACAUUUGACUCUUGGUGUUAAAUGGCCAAACCACACUGGAGUACUUCGCAAUAUCCGGUAAAAGUGAAGAUGUGCACCUCCUACAACCCAGCAACUGCACUUCUGGGUGACAGGAAGUAUGUGCCUGUGUACCAGGACACACACACAACCAUGCACCCACACUGAAAAAGGAAGACAGCUUAAAUCCCAACAAAGAAUCGAUGUUCUAAAAUUAUGAGAACAUUACGCAGCAGUCAAAAUCAAAAUACAGCUGUAUGAGUCAAUAUGGUUGACUCAAUAACCAUUAAGUAAGCAGAAGCAGCAGCUACAGAAUGAUACAUAAAUUCCUUGCCACAGACCUUUAUUUCGACCUCUCACUCUCGCCUCACGUCUUACUAACCUCCGUGCUAAUCCCAACCCCAGAUCUAGAGCCUCUCUGACCAGUCUGCUCCUCAACUGCAGCCCUCUACUCCCACCCCAUGGACAUUCUACGGGCAGCUGCCUCUGCUUUGCUCCAUCCAUCCUACUCUCCCAGCUGCUUCCUAUCUUCCCGCGAUGUGCUGGAAACGUCCACCCAAUGGACACUGUUGCUUGUUGGUUUCUUAUCUUAAUUCUUUACUACCAUUUUUGAGAUCUGAGGGAGAGAAUACCUUGAACUAGAUGGCCAGCAAAGGAAAAAUAAGCCUGCUGAAUGAGAGCAACAAGAUGUUUAAAGGGGACUGAGGGAUGCAGAAAUUAUUCUUAUCUUCUAAUAGCUCAAUCUGUUAAAGAUUUUAAGCUAUGAUCCUGCCCUCAAGAUCAUAAGAUACCCAAGGUCUCCAAUUCACUUUCUACGUGAAGCAAAAUAAUUCAGUGAAUGCUUACGAAGGAGCCGGCCUGCCGGCAUUCAAACCUUAGCUCUGCCACAGUCUAGCCAUGACUCCACACAAGUCAUUCAAUCUCUCUGUGCCCCCCAUCUCGCCAUUUAUAAAUAGGGAUUAAUAAUACAGUCAUAGGAUUGUGUGAGGAUUAAGUGAGUUCUAUGCAGAGUGCUUAUCAGAACUGUGCUGGGCACACAAUAAAUGCUACGCACAUCAGCUGUAGCCACAAGGCCCUCAAUGAACCAAUUUCCUAUUGUUGGAUGUUUAUCUCAUGUCCAGUCUAUUUUUAUUACCAUUAUGAGAGU